rnacentral:sRNA from 1 species
CAAAACUUUUAUCAUGAUUUUAUAUUGUGCUGAGAAUAAUAGUGUGUUCUUCUUUUGAAGCCCUUAUGGGUUCUUUUAUAUCCUUAUGUGAGUUAUUCGGGUUAAGAACUUAUGAUGAAUUUUUAUUAUGUGUAUGAACAUUAUUAGAGAUAAAUUCACUUGUUCAUCAUGUUUUUACACCAUACUCUGCAAAUUUUCAUCAGUUGCCAUAUCUGUAUAUGUGGUAUUGAGUGCUUGACGUUUUCAUCAUCAGUUGGAUUUUUCUCUUGAGUUACAGAAAAACCAUGAAAGUAAAAACAUGCAGGUCUAUUUUUGAGUUUAUAAACAUGAUGAAUAUUACGAUUUUGUGUAUUAGAACUAUAAGAGGUCUCUAUGUGGACUUGGACAGAUUAUGUGGUAAUGGGUAACAUUGCCUACAAUCUUAUGUAACUGUAGUUAUUGAGAUUGCCUGAAAAGGAAUAAAAAACAUCAAAACU